UUCGCAAUGCCCGAAAGGGUGACGAAGCGACGCCGCGUGGGUGAGGAAGGCCCUCGGGUUGUAAAGCCCUGUCAGGAGUUAAGAAAUAUAGGUACGCUAAUAUCGUAUCUAUUUGACAAAGGCUCCAAAGGAAGCCACGGCUAACUCUGUGCCAGCAGCCGCGGUAAUACAGAGGUGGCAAGCGUUGUUCGGAAUUAUUGGGCGUAAAGAGCACGUAGGUGGAUUUGUAAGUCAGAUGUGAAAGCCUUCUGUUCAACGGAAGAAUUGCAUCUGAAACUACAAACCUUGAGUACAGGAGGGGAGAAUGGAACUUCUGGUGGAGCGGUGAAAUGCGUAGAUAUCAGAAGGAACGCCGGCGGCGAAAGCGAUUCUCUGGCCUAUUACUGACACUCAGUGUGCGAAAGCUAGGGGAGCAAACGGGAUUAGAUACCCCGGUAGUCCUAGCCGUAAACGAUGGGCACUAAGUAGAGGGGUUUU
rnacentral:rRNA from 1 species